rnacentral:tRNA from 1 species
GGCCGAUUAGCUCACUUGGUUAGAGCGUGGUGCUGAUAACAUCAAGGUUGCGGGUUUGAUCCCCGCUCGGUCC